CUGCAAUUUCACUGCUCAAUUCACUGUCAUUUAGGAGUUAAAUCACUUUGUUUCUGUUUAUGCAGCCCUAGCCACACCUCCCCUGGCUAUGAUUGACAGAGCCUGCAUGAAAGAAAAACUGGUUUCACUUUCAAACAGAUGUAAUUUACCUUAAAUAAUUGUAUCUCAAUCUCUAAAUUGAACUUUAAUCACAUACAGGAGGCUCUUGCAGGGUCUAGCAAGCUAUUAACAUAGCAGGGGAUAAGAAACUCUUAAUUAAACAGAACUUGCAAUAAAGAAAGCCUAAAUAGGGCUCUCUUUACAGGAAGUGUUUAUGGAAGGCUGUGCAAGUCACAUGCAGGGAGGUGUGACUAGGGUUCACAAACAAAGGGAUUUAACUCUUAAAUGGCAGAGGAUUGAGCAGUGAGGC